UUGUUCAGAAUGUCUUAUCAAUAUUUUACAUGCUGUUCUAAUUAAGUUCGCCCUUUCUUCAAUAUAAACAUGUAGAUAACAAAUUGCUAAACUCAUGGUGAGCAAAAUCUACCACAUGAGAAAUUGUGAUAAGUGGUGAACCGAUGCUAGUAUUAGCAUAUGGUUGAAAUCCGAUGUGCAAGUCAAACACAAUGAUAAUGGCCUAAAUAUAUGAUGAAGUGUUUUCACAUAGAUAUUCUGUAAACUAAAAAUCCUAAUUGUCAACUUUAGGUGUUUUCUAGUAAUUAUGUUGAAAAAUCAGAUUUGUAAAGAAGUUAAAUGGAACCAUGAUAGCACAGGAACCUAGCAACUAGGAUUGGCAAUGGGUCGAGUCAAGUCGAGAAUGGAUACCAACAUGCAAAACCUUGAGCUCUACCGGAUUUGACCCAACGUCAGAUCAAGAUCUCAACCCAUACCUACCCAUGGGUUUCAGAUCACCAAUUUGACCCUAAUCUAAUCUAUUUGCAAGACGCAAUCCCUAAUAAACCUAAGCUAGCCUAUUUAUAGUUCUAACCAGCUAAUUUUCAAAAUGAUUUAAACUACCACUAUCAAGAAGAAGACCAAUCACCCAAAAAAUUCUUAUCCAAGGUUACAAGUCUACCCAACCUAAUUUUUUCAACCCAAAUAGAAACUUUACUACUCGGCGCAAGGAUGAAACUCCGGGGCAUUGAUUCGUAACGCGAAUCGCCGGAUGUGAUUCGAUAGGAAUGCCGACCACUACAUAAGCCGCUGGCGGAGAAAGCUCUUCGAGCUUCCCUUCAUUCGCUGCCCCCCGUGGGAGACCGAGCCGUGUCUCAGUCCUCUAACCUCAUGAAUUGGAUUGGUUCAAAGCUUUGCCCCAUAUCUGACCAAUUUAAAAUUUCAAAUUAGGAAGUCUAGCCCAUAGUUGAUCUUAACUAAUAAAACCCUUGAUCCAAACCUGAUCCAAAUAGGUAGGAUCGGGUUCGAAUCAUGGGUUCGAACCAAAGGUUGUGGGCUCGAAUCAUGGGUGAGUCAGGUGCAUCCCAAAUACUGAGACCUAGGUAAUUAUAGUGUAAUGGGCCUCCCUCCCUCUCUCUCCAAAACAUACUAUC
rnacentral:lncRNA from 1 species